AAGCCACUGUCAGAUGUCAUGGAGAUGAGACCUCACAAGCCUACUCAACGUGAAGAUGAUGAGAAUGAAGACCUUUAUGAUGAUCUGCUUCCACUUAAAGAAUAACCCUGAAACAAGAUGGUGCUGGUAACAUCAUAGGAAAUUAGAUCUAGAAGAUGUGGUCUAGUCUCUUCUCUUGCAUACUCAUGGUGUCAUUGGCUUUGGCCAAUGGGAUGUCAGAAAAUGUGAUGCAGCAGAGACUUGAAGAUGCACUGCAGAGACUAGAUUUAUUCUUUUCUGCUGCAGCAAUUGCCAUGAAGUUGCAGUCCCAGCCUAGCCUGCUGGCCCCAGGAUGAGGGUGAG
rnacentral:lncRNA from 10 species